rnacentral:rRNA from 1 species
UACGUAGGGGGCAAGCGUUGUUCGGAAUUAUUGGGCGUAAAGGGUGCGUAGGCGGCGCGGUAAGUCGGGUGUGAAAUCUUGGAGCUUAACUCCGAAACUGCAUUCGAUACUGCCGUGCUUGAGGACUGGAGAGGAGACUGGAAUUUACGGUGUAGCGGUGAAAUGCGUAGAUAUCGUAAGGAAGACCAGUGGCGAAGGCGGGUCUCUGGACAGUUCCUGACGCUGAGGCACGAAGGCCAGGGGAGCAAACGGG